CCCGCCGUAGCUCAGCGGUAGAGCGCCCGGCUGUAGUUACCGGGUGGUCCGGGGUUCAAUUCCCCGCGGCGGGACCA
rnacentral:tRNA from 1 species